rnacentral:rRNA from 1 species
CUUGUGAAACCUAAAAGUUCGAAAAGAGAGAUUCAACGUCAGUAUGUAUUGUAUUCACGUGAGUAGUGAUGUGAGUUUUCGUUUAAUUGGGUUAAACCUUUUAUUCGAAGCUCGCACAUUUUCAUGUUAUUUUAUUGCAGUACUAUUACCGGCGUGCACUUCUCUCUUAGUAGGACGUCCCGACCCGUUAAACCUUGGCCUACGGCACAGAUGGUAGCCUUUAACGUUUUAAUUAAUGUUGAAGACCUCUGUUGUGUUCUCCUGGCUAAAGUGUUUGACGGUAGUUAAUGACGUGGUGUCCAGCCGCAUAAUUUAUUGUGCGUCCGGCCAGUCGCAAGUUACUGAUAUAUUCCUUAUUUAUCAUAGACUUUGCGCUAUGUGAUAGGGUUAUGUCGCUUUGCAUGACUGUGCUUUAGGACUGGCUUACUUCACCUGUCUGGGACGCUUAGGCUUUGGGUACUCACAAGACCCGUCUUGAAACACGGACCAAGGAGUCUAACAUGUAUGCGAGUCAUUGGGUAUAUAUUUUCCUUCGGGAAUUUAUAUAAAACAAACCUAAAGGCGUAAUGAAAGUAAAGGUUGAACCUUAGUGUUUAACUGAGGGAUGAUGGGUUAUUAAUUUAUCCUCGCAAUCCCAGGGCGUCUUAAUCUCAUUGCGAGAUGA